GUGGGCUGUCUCAUCCCCGCCUUGGCUCCGGGCCCCAUUCCUGGCAGCGGCCUCGCCCAUCCGCAGGCGGCUCCUGAGCUGUCUGCAGAGCCCCACCUGUGAGCCCUGCGGCUCUGGCAGCAGCAAGUCUGGUCACAGCCUCCUGCGGCCUCCCGGGGGCUGGCACCUCCGCCUGCACCUGAGCCAAGACCCCAGGGCCCCGCCCUCCCCUCCCUUGAUCUCCACCUUGCUGGGCCAAUUAUCCUUUCCUGGGGCACCGGUAUUUGUCACUGGGGUGUUGGGGUGUUUGUCCACCUAGGUGUCUGGUGCCCCACCAGACAGACCAGAGCUCCCUGGGCUGAGGGAGAGAGGUCUGCCUCUUGUAUCCAGUGACCCGGGACCUACUCACAAAAGAGCUCCCUACAUGUUUGAUGAGUGACUUGCAGAUCCUACAUCAGCACCAGAUGGGCCCUGGGUACAAGUGAUGUUGAGGUUGGGGUCCCAGAUCACCUUAUUCAUGAGGGUCGAAACAGGAGUCCCAGGUGAGCUGCUUCUCACAGAGCCAGCACCAAGGUUUCUCUGAGGAGGUAGCAAAAACAGCCAAAAGAAGAAAUACCCAAAGAACAUUCUGGAACAGAGGGGUGUGCCUCCCAGGGCAGCGACUGGAGUCCGUGGGUGGCAGAGCCCGCUAUGGAGCCCGUGGGCAGGGUGGGCCUGGAGCUUUAGUGCCCAGCCCAGGAGAACUCAGCAGGUCUGGUAGGGCUUUGGGGGAAAGAUCCAGAAAUGGGGCCUGCUCUGGAAGGGGGACCCGGGCCUGGUUCCAGCUGCAGCGUGUGGCACAGUGGCACACCAGGGCACAGCUGGGCUCCUGCCACCGUGCUUGCGGGAGGGACAGGAAGGUGGGGAGCCGCCCAGGUGGCUGCACCAGCAUUGCGGUCCGUCUCCUGUCAGUCACACAACAGCAGCGCCACGUGACAGGAGGGGGCGGCCAGCUAGGCACGGCUCCGGGGUGCAGUCCGUGGUCCCCACUCCAGGGUGGGCAUGGCGUGGCAGGCAGGGCCUGACCCCGGCAUCUAGGGGCAGGGAGGAGCCAGGUCACAGCACCCAGCACCCAGAACCUCCCUCCACGCACAGGAGUUCUGGGGACAUCGAGGAUCUAAGCCGUGACACACAGUAGGACACAGGGCCGGCCGCUGGCAGAGCCAGGACUGCUGGGUCAGCUCUGUGGGUUUCUGGUGGAUGGAUGGACGGACAGAUGGAUGGAUGGACAGACGGAUGAAGGAAUAAAUUAAUAAAUGGGUUAGAAACAGUUUUUCUGCCUGGCAGUGACACAAGGAAAAAAAAGGAAUUAAAUACACCCCAGGUGCACAAGCACAGUUUGUGCUGUGCGCUCCAAGGCACCCUGCCUGCUUAGAAGCACACCCAGGUGUCAUCGGGGAAACUGAGGCAGGUGCGUGUGAGGGAGGUGCACACGUUGCCUGGCUCUUUGGCCCAGCCUGCUUUUUCCUGGCCUUGGUGCUACCUCAGCCCCACGACAUCGGCCUUGGGGACUGGGUCCCCACUGAGCUCCCAGCCGCCUCCCCCACCCACUCUGCUCCCUCCACCUGCUCCAGGCACACCUUCUUCGUCCCCAACCCUCGUCCUCUCUGGGUGGACCCUGGGCUCAAUCCUAAGCAGUUCUGCUUAGCUUGAAAGAUUUCUAAAGCAAAUCCAGCUGAGGAUUUAGCUCAGCGGCUUAAGCGCCUGCCUUGCAAGCAGGUAGUCGUGAGUUCAAUCCUCAGUACUGAUAUAAAAAAAAAAGUUAAAACAAAUCUGGUGGUGAAACCCAGAAUCCCAGCGCUCUGGGAAGAGGCUGAGGCAGGAGGAUCCCAAGUUCAAGCCCAGCCUUAGUGAUACAGUGAGACUCUGUCUCCAAAUUUAAAAA